UACGUAGGGUCCGAGCGUUGUCCGGAAUUAUUGGGCGUAAAGGGCUCGUAGGCGGUCUGUUGCGUCGGGAGUGAAAACUUACAGCUUAACUGUGAGCGUGCUUUCGAUACGGGCAGACUUGAGGCAUUCAGGGGAGAACGGAAUUCCUGGUGUAGCGGUGAAAUGCGCAGAUAUCAGGAGGAACACCGGUGGCGAAGGCGGUUCUCUGGGAAUGUACUGACGCUGAGGAGCGAAAGUGUGGGAGCGAACAGG
rnacentral:rRNA from 1 species